AGACCCGAAACCCGGUGAUCUAGCCAUGGGCAGGUUGAAGGUUGGGUAACACUAACUGGAGGACCGAACCGACUAAUGUUGAAAAAUUAGCGGAUGACCUGUGGCUGGGGGUGAAAGGCCAAUCAAACCGGGAGAUAGCUGGUUCUCCCCGAAAGCUAUUUAGGUAGCGCCUCGUGAAUUCAUCUCCGGGGGUAGAGCACUGUUUCGGCUAGGGGGCCAUCCCGGCUUACCAACCCGAUGCAAACUGCGAAUACCGGAGAAUGUUAUCACGGGAGACACACGGCGGGUGCUAACGUCCGUCGUGAAGAGGGAAACAACCCAGACCGCCAGCUAAGGUCCCAAAGUCAUGGUUAAGUGGGAAACGAUGUGGGAAGGCCCAGACAGCCAGGAUGUUGGCUUAGAAGCAGCCAUCAUUUAAAGAAAGCGUAAUAGCUCACUGGUCGAGUCGGCCUGCGCGGAAGAUGUAACGGGGCUAAACCAUGCACCGAAGCUGCGGCAGCGAACGUAUCACCCAAGACAACUUUACGGAGUUGACGAUUGACGGAGCGAAGCGACGUCAAAGCGUUCAUUAAAGUCGAGUUGGCUUAGGGAUACGUUCGUUGGGUAGGGGAGCGUUCUGUAAGCCUGUGAAGGUGUGUCGUGAGGCAUGCUGGAGGUAUCAGAAGUGCGAAUGCUGACAUAAGUAACGAUAAAGCGGGUGAAAAGCCCGCUCGCCGGAAGACCAAGGGUUCCUGUCCAACGUUAAUCGGGGCAGGGUGAGUCGACCCCUAAGGCGAGGCCGAAAGGCGUAGUCGAUGGGAAACGGGUUAAUAUUCCCGUACUUGGUGUUACUGCGAAGGGGGGACGGAGAAGGCUAUGUUGGCCGGGCGACGGUUGUCCCGGUUUAAGCGUGUAGGUGUGUGUUCCAGGUAAAUCCGGUUCACUUUAACACUGAGGCGUGACGACGAGGCACUACGGUGCUGAAGCAACAAAUGCCCUGCUUCCAGGAAAAGCCUCU
rnacentral:rRNA from 3 species